UACGUAGGUGGCAAGCGUUGUCCGGAUUUACUGGGCGUAAAGGGCGUGCAGGCGGUUUGUUAAGUGCAGGGUGAAAGCUCCCGGCUCAACUGGGAGAGGUCCUUGCAUACUGGCAAACUCGAGGGAGGCAGAGGAAAGUGGAAUUCCCGGUGUAGCGGUGAAAUGCGUAGAUAUCUGGAGGAACACCGGUGGCGAAGGCGGCAUCCUGGACCGGCAUUGACGCUGAGUGAGCGAAAGCCAGGGGAGCAAACGGG
rnacentral:rRNA from 1 species